rnacentral:rRNA from 1 species
CACUUGGCCGAUCAGUUGAAUAAUGAAGAAAACGGCGAAAAGCGCAGUCAGCCCACGCAAUGCAUCAUCCAGCCGGAACAGAACGAAUGGUUCGAUGCGGACCAGUUUUCCGGUCUCGCCAUAGCUGCGAUUAGUCUCCUUGAGAAAAAUGCAGGCAAGCAGGAACGCGAAGCCGUUUAGAAGGGCAGCGGCGAUAAACGGAGCAUGAGCAGAAAUACCACCGAGCAUGCCACCAAGUGCUGGCCCGGCAAUCAUGCCUGUCCCAUAACAGGCUCCCAUGUAGCCGAACCAGCGUGCGCGAGACCCUUCCCCUGUCGAAUCGGCAAUGGUUGAGGCAGCUACAGCUCCGGUUGCUCCCGUGAUGCCAGAAAUGAGCCGGCCAAUAUACAGCACCCAUAAGACCGGCGCUGAUGCCAUAAUNGUGUAAUCGAC